CGCACAUGCCCGAACCACCUCAGCCUCGCUUUUCGCAUCUUCUCAUCCACCGUGGCCAACCCCACCUUCUCUCGAAUAACUUCAUUUUUAAUUUUAUCUAACCCAGUGAGCCCACACAUACACUUGAGCAUCCUCAUCUCCGCAACCUUCAUUAUCUGAACAUGAGAGUUCUUCACGGGCCAGCACUCCGCCCCAUACAACAUCGCAGGUCUAACUACGGCUCUGUAGAAUUUCCCCUUAAGUUUGUGUGGAAUUUUCUUGUCACACAGGACCCCUGAAGCAAGCCUCCACUUCGACCACCCCGCUCCUAUCCNN
rnacentral:lncRNA from 1 species